rnacentral:rRNA from 1 species
UACGGAGGGGGCAAGCGUUUGUUCGGAUUUACUGGGCGUAAAGGGUGUGUAGGCGGCUGGAUAAGUCUGGUGUGAAAUCUUCACCGCUCAACGGGAAGAGGUCACUGGAAACUGUUCAGCUUGAGUAUGGUAGAGGUAAGCGGAAUUCCUGGUGUAGCGGUGGAAUGUGUAGAUAUCAGGAAGAACAUCGGUGGCGAAGGCGGCUUACUGGGCCAUUACUGACGCUGAGACACGAAAGCGUGGGGAGCAAACGGG